rnacentral:ncRNA from 1 species
GCGUCCUGCCUCGUGAUCGUCUUCUCACCUUUCACUGGGCAGGCGGAAGAGAGCGAAGCCCCCACGAGGACCUGACUCGUGGGGGCUUCGU